rnacentral:sRNA from 1 species
CUUUUCCAGUUGCGGCGCCGCGCGGUGAGGUUGUCUAGUCCACGCUCGGAGCCAUGCCGUCCAAGGGCCCGCUGCAGUCGGUGCAGGUCUUCGGACGCAAGAAGACAGCGACAGCUGUGGCGCACUGCAAACGCGGCAAUGGUCUCAUCAAGGUGAACGGGCGGCCCCUGGAGAUGAUUGAGCCGCGCACGCUACAGUACAAGGUGCUGGGAUCCGGCACCGGCGUUGAGUGGAUGGAGGACUCUUGGAGACAGAGAUGUUGUAGCUCUUGAAAGCUGAGGGGGCUGGUAUCAGCAACGGGAUGUUUAGAAGUUGUGUUGGGUGUAGAACAGUGGGGUAUUUGGCAAUAGAGCUGGGCUUGGGGUUCAGAAGAUGUAAAUGCUGAGAUGGGGGUGUUGAAGAUUAAGGGGUUGCUUUGAAAAGUGGGAUGUUAGGAAGCUCACCUAACUGGGGCGGGGGGACCAAAAGGGUGAAGGGACACCGGCUAUUUUUUAUUUUAUUUAUUUGUUUUGAGAGGGAGUCUCGCUGUAUCGCCCAGGCUGGAGUGUAGUGGCGCGAUCUCGGAUCACUGCAACCUUCGCCUCCCGGGUUAAAGCGAUUCUCCUGCCUCAGCCUCUUGAGUAGCUGAGAUUACAGGCAUGCACCACCACGCCCGGCUAAUUUUUGUAUUUUUAGUAGAGACGGGGUUUCACCAUAUUGGCCAGACUGGUCUCGAACUCAUUACCUCAGGUGAUCCACCAGCCUCGGCCUCCCAAAGUGCUGGGAUUGCAGGCGUCAGCCACCGUGUGCGGCCGAAUUUGGGUCUGUUUAAAUGCUUGCUUGUAAAAGGGGUUCCUCUGUUCCCUUUUUGGGACUCUCAAUUUCUUUGGCUCAGAAUGGAAAGAAACCAGAGUCUGACUUCUGCCCCUUCUGAACUCUACUACUUUUAAAAGAAAGAAUAUCUACAUUGCAGGGUCAGUUAAAAAAAUUUUUUUUGAGUUAUAAGGUUCUUAUUUAAGAACAGUAUCUUGCUGUCACCUACCCUGGAGUGCAGUAGCACAAUCCUAAUGAACUGCAGCCUUAAACUCCUGAGUUGGAGAUCCUCCCACCUCAGCCUUUCGGUUGCCAAGACUACAGGCACAUCACCACGCCUGGCUCAUUUGAGAAAUAUUUUUUUGUAGACGUGGGGUCUCACUUUAUUGCCCAGGCUGGUCCUUGGUCUCAAGUGAUCCUUCUGCCUGGACUGGGAUUACAGGUGUGAUCACCAUGCCUGGCCUAGAAUUUAAUAAAAAUUCUGAGAUUUCCUUUGUGUAGCAGAUGUUGAAUGUUACUGUUAUUGGCUGUCACUGUAUUUGAAGGAUUUGUAUGUGUACCCUCUGUUGAGUUUUGGGGACAUAGCAGUGAUCCAGAUGACUUCAGGUCUUGCCUUCAUGGACCUGCCAGCCUAGUUGGGGAGAAGGACUGGGCCCAAUACCAGAAGCUGAUCCAAAGUGGUCAGAACUGGGGAAGGAGACCUGUGAGCUGAAAGCAGGUAAAGGAAGUAUCCAGACAGAGGCACUGGUAAAAGACCUGGAGCUGGGAAGGGUCUAGGGACCAGGGACAGGUUGUACUGUAAUUCUGGAAACCUGUGAGGCUCAAAGAAAGGGCAGAGAGCUCAGGUGGGAAAUAGAAAAGGCACCUGAACAGUCCAGGGAUGGCUUUCGACUGCUUGAAACAGCCUUGGGAGUUUCAGAAGCUAUUGGAAUGCUUACUGUUCAGCCUUCUAAGAACCAGUCUUAGAGGUAGGGUGUCUGAGGUCCAGUGAGGGACACAAGUAGGAGGGAGCCCAGAUCUUGUUCCCUUUACCUUGCCUAUAUUUCUUAACACCACUUCAGCAGUCUCACAUCUGGCUUUUUUGACUUUCCUCUUCUCUGGGUCUGUAGAGGGGCUUGGAGUGACACCCUGACCCCCAUCCACUAGUACUUGAAGGCCAGUGGUGGCAGAAGCCACAGAAACAAGAAGCCCAGUGAGAUGGCUAAGCUGCCCAGCAUGUAACUUAAAUCCCUGUUCAUUCCCCAUUCCUUUAGCUGCUGGAGCCAGUUCUGCUUCUCGGCAAGGAGCGAUUUGCUGGUGUAGACAUCCGUGUCCGUGUAAAGGGUGGUGGUCACGUGGCCCAGAUUUAUGCUAUCCGUCAGUCCAUCUCCAAAGCCCUGGUGGCCUAUUACCAGAAAUAUGUGGAUGAGGCUUCCAAGAAGGAGAUCAAAGACAUCCUCAUCCAGUAUGACCGGACCCUGCUGGUAGCUGAUCCUCGUCGCUGCGAGUCCAAAAAGUUUGGAGGCCCUGGUGCCCGUGCUCGCUACCAGAAAUCCUACCGAUAAGCCCAUCGUGACUCAAAAUUCACUUGUAUAAUAAACAGUUUUUGAGGGAU